AUUGAACGCUGGCGGCAUGCUUUACACAUGCAAGUCGAACGGUAACAGGCCGCAAGGUGCUGACGAGUGGCGAGCGGGUGAGUAAUGCAUCGGAACGUGCCCAGUCGUGGGGGAUAACUACUCGAAAGAGUAGCUAAUACCGCAUACGAUCUAUGGAUGAAAGCGGGGGACCGUAAGGCCUCGCGCGAUUGGAGCGGCCGAUGUCCGAUUAGGUAGUUGGUGGGGUAAAGGCUCACCAAGCCAACGAUCUGUAGCUGGUCUGAGAGGACGACCAGCCACACUGGGACUGAGACACGGCCCAGACUCCUGCGGGAGGCAGCAGUGGGGAAUUUUGGACAAUGGGCGCAAGCCUGAUCCAGCAAUGCCGCGUGCAGGAAGAAGGCCUUCGGGUUGUAAACUGCUUUUGUACGGAACGAAACGGCUCUGGUUAAUACCCGGGGCUAAUGACGGUACCGUAAGAAUAAGCACCGGCUAACUACGUG
rnacentral:rRNA from 1 species